rnacentral:rRNA from 1 species
CACGGAUGCCUCAGUAGCGGCGAGUGAGCGGCAAGAGCUCAGAUUUGAAAUCUCACCUAGUGUGCGAGUUGUAAAUUGCAGGUUGGAGUCUCGGGUUAGACGUGUGUGCAAGUCCCUUGGAACAGGGUGCCACUGAGGGUGAGAGCCCCGUAGCGUGCAUGUCGACACCUGUGAGGCCCUUCUGACGAGUCGAGUUGUUUGGGAAUGCAGCUCUAAGUGGGUGGUAAAUUCCAUCUAAGGCUAAAUAUUGGCGAGAGACCGAUAGCGAACAAGUACUGUGAAGGAAAGAUGAAAAGCACUUUGAAAAGAGAGUGAAACAGCACGUGAAAUUGUUGAAAGGGAAGGGUAUUGGGCUCGACAUGGGAUUUACGCAUCGUUGCCUCUCGUGGGCGGCGCUCUGGGUUUUUCCUGGGCCAGCAUCGGUUUUCGUUGCAGGAUAAGGACAAUUGGAAUGUGGCUCCUCGGAGUGUUAUAGCCUUUUGUAAAUGCUGCGUAUGGGGACCGAGGGCUGCGGCGGACUCGUUUCGUCUCGGAUGCUGGCACAACGGCGCAAUACCGCCCGUCUG